rnacentral:rRNA from 1 species
GACGAACGCUGGCGGCGUGCUUAACACAUGCAAGUCGAACGGUGAAGCUCCAGCUUGCUGGAGUGGAUCAGUGGCGAACGGGUGAGUAACACGUGAGCAACCUGCCCCUGACUCUGGAAUAAGCGCUGGAAACGGCGUCUAAUACUGGAUACGAGAAGGGUCCGCAUGGGCACUUUCUGGAAAGUUUUUCGGUUGGGGAUGGGCUCGCGGCCUAUCAGCUUGUUGGUGAGGUAAUGGCUCACCAAGGCGACGACGGGUAGCCGGCCUGAGAGGGCGACCGGCCACACUGGGACUGAGACACGGCCCAGACUCCUACGGGAGGCAGCAGUGGGGAAUAUUGCACAAUGGACGAAAGCCUGAUGCAGCGACACCGCGUGAGGGAUGACGGCCUUCGGGUUGUAAACCUCUUUCAGCAGGGAAGAAGCGAAAGUGACGGUACCUGCAGAAGAAGCACCGGCUAACUACGUG